rnacentral:misc_RNA from 1 species
UACGGAGGGUGCGAGCGUUGUCCGGAAUCACUGGGCGUAAAGGGCGCGUAGGUGGCUACUUAAGCGUGUGGUGAAAGUCCGGGGCUCAACCCCGGAUCGGCCGUGCGAACUGAGUGGCUCGAGCACUGUAGAGGCAGGUGGAAUUCCGGGUGUAGCGGUGGAGUGCGUAGAGAUCCGGAAGAACACCGGUGGCGAAGGCGGCCUGCUGGGCAGUGGCUGACACUGAGGCGCGACAGCGUGGGGAGCAAACAGG